AAAUCAGACGCCGUGACAACAUCCGGGUAUUCUGUAUAACACUGUAUAACAAACUCCCAGGCCGUUGAGUUGACUGUAUUAGAGCGGAUAGAAGAGUGUUAUAUUGUGUAAGAGUAAGAGCUAGCUCGCUAGUUAGCCGCGCUGAGAAAGUGUCUGUGUGACUUUAGUCAGAGGUUGUACUACAAUCCAAAAACGCCUCAAAUGUAGUUCACUGCAUGCGUGAAAUUUGUGUCUAAUCCAUACAUCGAUGAACAAGUGAUUAAAAUAUAAAUAUAUUAAAUAUACAUUUUUACGACCAAAUCGAAUGUAAAGCAUUUACUUCCGGCAUCAAAGUGACGCAGGUACCAUUCCGAGCCUCCUGAUUGGUCCGCGCUGAGGGGCGCCAAUCAGACGUCAGUAUGACAGGCCGAGCGGCCCAGACUGAGGAUGUAUGCGGAUUGACCGGUGUAUAAGGAGCAGGUGUGUAGAUGUGUUAGAGGUUGUAUGUUUUUUUUUUAACGCUUGUCCUGCUCGUUAUCCUGAACACACGGAUGUGCAGUGUUUGAGUCCGGAGCUGCGUUCAGUACAUUCAGAUUAACACAAUCAUUCAGUGUACAGCGAUGCGCGAGACGGAGAGCGGCGCGGGACAGGGUUCAUCUACCGGAAGUGAAGUGUGUGAGGACACAGGAAGUGUGUAUGUGGGACAGAGUGAUGAAGAUGCAGUGAUGGAAGACAGAGCAUUCAUCACUGAUUCCUGUCCUCCGUGUGUGUAUGAGGGAACAGAGGGAUGGGUCCUCCAGGACCAGUCUAGUUUUAACGACAGCGAUUCGGAGGACGUUCUUCACACCGUGAACCCAAACGAGGUCUUCAACGAGAGCGAUACUGCUGCUUCAGACAUUCCUGACCCCACCCACUGCCCGACUCUGGCCAUGCCCACUGUGUAUCAGGUUGUGUAUGACAUCAGUGGAGUGGGCAGAGACCAACAGAAGCAGCAGAAAGUGGACGUUAUUUCCAUUGAGCUUGGUGCGUCCUUCAUAAACAUCUCACUCUUCAUUUGUUUUUAAAUGUUUUUGUUGGUGUUACAGAUAUUAAAAUAGUAAAAUGGUAAGAUAUCACAAUAUAAAAAUAUUACGAUAUUAAGAUAUUAUUAGGUGUGAAAUGUGUUGCAUUGUUGCAGCUGAGUGAUUUUAAGUGCGGUGCUGAUGGAUUCGCUAACAGAUAAAAUUAAUAAGGUGGUGUUAAUCAAGUAAUGUGGUGUUAAUGGUGGAGUGUUAAUGGAAGAAGGUGGUGUUAGUGGUGGAGUGUUAAUGGAAGAAGGUGGUGUUAGUGGUGGAGUGUUAAUGGAAGAAGGUGGUGUUAAUGGAAUAAGGUGGCGUUAACAAAGUAAAGUGGUGUUAAUGAUGGAGUGUUAAUGGAAGAAGGCGGUGUUAGUGGUGGAGUGUUAAUGGAAGAAGGUGGUGUUAGUGGUGGAGUGUUAAUGGAAGAAGGUGGUGUUAAUGGAAUAAGGUGGCGUUAACAAAGUAAAGUAGUGUUAAUGAUGGAGUGUUAAUGGAAUAAGGUGGCAUUAAUGAAGUAAGGUGGCGUUAAUGGAAUAAGGUGGCGUUAAUGAAGUAAGGUGGCGUUAAUGGAAUAAGGUGGCGUUAAUGAAGUAAGGUGGUGUUAAUGGAAUAAGGUGGCGUUAAUGGAAUAAGGUGGUGUUAAUGAUGGCGUGUUAAUGGAAUAAGGUGGUGUUAAUGGUGGAGUGUUAAUGGAAUAAGGUGGCGUUAAUGAAGUACGGUGGCGUUAAUGGAAUAAGGUGGUGUUAAUGAAGUACGGUGGCGUUAAUGGAAUAAGGUGGUGUUAAUGGUGGAGCUGGUGUUAAUGGAAUAAGGUGGUGUUAAUAAAGUAAGGUGGCGUUAAUGGAAUAAGGUGGUGUUAAUGGUGGAGUGUUAAUGGAAUAAGGUGGUGUUAAUGGUGGAGCUGGUGUUAAUGGAAUAAGGUGGUGUUAAUGGAAUAAGGUGGCGUUAAUGAAGUAAGGUGGCGUUAAUAAAGUAAGGUGGCGUUAAUGGAAUAAGGUGGUGUUAAUGAAGUAAGGUGGCGUUAAUAAAGUAAGGUGGCGUUAAUGGAAUAAGGUGGUGUUAAUGAAGUAAGGUGGCGUUAAUAAAGUAAGGUGGUGUUAAUGGAAUAAGGUGGCGUUAAUAAAGUAAGGUGGCGUUAAUGGAAUAAGGUGGUGUUAAUGAAGUAAGGUGGCGUUAAUAAAGUAAGGUGGUGUUAAUGAAGUAAGGUGGCAUUAAUGGAAUAAGGUGGUGUUAAUAAAGUAAGGUGGCGUUAAUGAUGGCGUGUUAAUGGAAUAAGGUGGUGUUAAUGGUGGAGCUGGUGUUAAUGGAAUAUGGUGGUGAUAAUGGAAUAAGGUUGUGUUAAUGAUGGCGUGUUAAUGGAAUAAGGUGGUGUUAAUGGUGGAGUGUUAAUGGAAUAAGGUGGCGUUAAUGAAGUACGGUGGCGUUAAUGGAAUAAGGUGGUGUUAAUGAAGUACGGUGGCGUGAAUGGAAUAAGGUGGUGUUAAUGGUGGAGUGUUAAUGGUGGAGCUGGUGUUAAUGGAAUAAGGUGGUGUUAAUAAAGUAAGGUGGCGUUAAUGGAAUAAGGUGGUGUUAAUGGUGGAGUGUUAAUGGAAUAAGGUGGUGUUAAUGGUGGAGCUGGUGUUAAUGGAAUAAGGUGGUGUUAAUGGAAUAAGGUGGCGUUAAUGAAGUAAGGUGGCGUUAAUAAAGUAAGGUGGCGUUAAUGGAAUAAGGUGGUGUUAAUGAAGUAAGGUGGCGUUAAUAAAGUAAGGUGGCGUUAAUGGAAUAAGGUGGUGUUAAUGAAGUAAGGUGGCGUUAAUAAAGUAAGGUGGUGUUAAUGGAAUAAGGUGGCGUUAAUAAAGUAAGGUGGCGUUAAUGGAAUAAGGUGGUGUUAAUGAAGUAAGGUGGCGUUAAUAAAGUAAGGUGGUGUUAAUGAAGUAAGGUGGCAUUAAUGGAAUAAGGUGGUGUUAAUAAAGUAAGGUGGCGUUAAUGAUGGCGUGUUAAUGGAAUAAGGUGGUGUUAAUGGUGGAGCUGGUGUUACUGGAAUAUGGUGGUGAUAAUGGAAUAAGGUUGUGUUAAUGAUGGCGUGUUAAUGGAAUAAGGUGGUGUUAAUGGUGGAGUGUUAAUGGAAUAAGGUGGCGUUAAUGAAGUACGGUGGCGUUAAUGGAAUAAGGUGGUGUUAAUGAAGUACGGUGGCGUGAAUGGAAUAAGGUGGUGUUAAUGGUGGAGUGUUAAUGGUGGAGCUGGUGUUAAUGGAAUAAGGUGGUGUUAAUAAAGUAAGGUGGCGUUAAUGGAAUAAGGUGGUGUUAAUGGUGGAGUGUUAAUGGAAUAAGGUGGUGUUAAUGAAGUACGGUGGCGUUAAUGGAAUAAGGUGGUGUUAAUGGUGGAGCUGGUGUUAAUGGAAUAAGGUGGUGUUAAUGGAAUAAGGUGGCGUUAAUGAAGUAAGGUGGCGUUAAUAAAGUAAGGUGGUGUUAAUGAAGUAAGGUGGC